rnacentral:rRNA from 1 species
UACGGAGGGCGCAAGCGUUGUUCGGAAUCACUGGGCGUAAAGCGCGUGUAGGCGGUUCGGUAAGUCGGAUGUGAAAUCCCCGGGCUCAACCCGGGAACUGCAUCCGAAACUGCCAGGCUAGAGUCCCGGAGAGGAAGGCAGAAUUCCCAAUGUAGGGGUGAAAUCCGUAGAUAUUGGGAGGAAUACCAGUGGCGAAGGCGGCCUUCUGGACGGUGACUGACGCUGAGACGCGAAAGCGUGGGGAGCAAACAGG